GACGUAGGGCGCGAGCGUUGUCCGGAUUCACUGGGUUUAAAGGGUGCGUAGGUGGGCAGGUAAGUCAGUGGUGAAAUCUCCGGGCUUAACCCGGAAACUGCCGUUGAUACUAUCUGUCUUGAAUAUAGUGGAGGUGAGCGGAAUAUGUCAUGUAGCGGUGAAAUGCUUAGAUAUGACAUAGAACAUCGAUUGCGAAGGCAGCUCACAAAACUGUAACUGACGCUGAGGCACGAAAGCGUGGGUAUCAAACAGG
rnacentral:rRNA from 1 species